rnacentral:tRNA from 1 species
AAUAAAAUAAACUAUAUAUAAGUUAUAGAACUCAUAAUUCUAUCAAGGAUCCUCCUUUUAUUA